rnacentral:rRNA from 1 species
AGUGAACGCUGGUGGCAGGCCUAACACAUGCAAGUCGAACGGCAGCACAGAGGAGCUUGCUCCUUGGGUGGCGAGUGGCGGACGGGUGAGGAAUACAUCGGAAUCUGCCUAUUUGUGGGGGAUAACGUAGGGAAACUUACGCUAAUACCGCAUACGACCUACGGGUGAAAGCGGAGGACCUUCGGGCUUCGCGCAGAUAGAUGAGCCGAUGUCGGAUUAGCUAGUUGGCGGGGUAAAGGCCCACCAAGGCGACGAUCCGUAGCUGGUCUGAGAGGAUGAUCAGCCACACUGGAACUGAGACACGGUCCAGACUCCUACGGGAGGCAGCAGUGGGGAAUAUUGGACAAUGGGCGCAAGCCUGAUCCAGCCAUGCCGCGUGGGUGAAGAAGGCCUUCGGGUUGUAAAGCCCUUUUGUUGGGAAAGAAAAGCAGUCGGUUAAUACCCGAUUGUUCUGACGGUACCCAAAGAAUAAGCACCGGCUAACUUCGUGCCAGCAGCCGCGGUAAUACGAAGGGUGCAAGCGUUACUCGGAAUUACUGGGCGUAAAGCGUGCGUAGGUGGUUUGUUAAGUCUGAUGUGAAAGCCCUGGGCUCAACCUGGGAAUUGCAUUGGAUACUGGCAGGCUAGAGUGCGGUAGAGGGUAGUGGAAUUCCCGGUGUAGCAGUGAAAUGCGUAGAGAUCGGGAGGAACAUCCGUGGCGAAGGCGACUACCUGGACCAGCACUGACACUGAGGCACGAAAGCGUGGGGAGCAAACAGGAUUAGAUACCCUGGUAGUCCACGCCCUAAACGAUGCGAACUGGAUGUUGGGUUCAACUAGGAACUCAGUAUCGAAGCUAACGCGUUAAGUUCGCCGCCUGGGGAGUACGGUCGCAAGACUGAAACUCAAAGGAAUUGACGGGGGCCCGCACAAGCGGUGGAGUAUGUGGUUUAAUUCGAUGCAACGCGAAGAACCUUACCUGGCCUUGACAUGCACGGAACUUUCCAGAGAUGGAUUGGUGCCUUCGGGAACCGUGACACAGGUGCUGCAUGGCUGUCGUCAGCUCGUGUCGUGAGAUGUUGGGUUAAGUCCCGCAACGAGCGCAACCCUUGUCCUUAGUUGCCAGCACGUAAUGGUGGGAACUCUAAGGAGACCGCCGGUGACAAACCGGAGGAAGGUGGGAAUGACGUCAAGUCAUCAUGGCCCUUACGGCCAGGGCUACACACGUACUACAAUGGGAAGGACAGAGGGCUGCGAACCCGCGAGGGCAAGCCAAUCCCAGAAACCUUCUCUCAGUCCGGAUCGGAGUCUGCAACUCGACUCCGUGAAGUCGGAAUCGCUAGUAAUCGCAGAUCAGCAUUGCUGCGGUGAAUACGUUCCCGGGCCU